ACGGGUGAGUAAUACAUCGGAACGUGCCCUGUAGUGGGGGAUAACUAGUCGAAAGAUAGCUAAUACCGCAUACGACCUGAGGGUGAAAGUGGGGGACCGCAAGGCCUCAUGCUAUAGGAGCGGCCGAUGUCUGAUUAGCUAGUUGGUGAGGUAAAGGCUCACCAAGGCGACGAUCAGUAGCUGGUCUGAGAGGACGAUCAGCCACACUGGGACUGAGACACGGCCCAGACUCCUACGGGAGGCAGCAGUGGGGAAUUUUGGACAAUGGGGGCAACCCUGAUCCAGCAAUGCCGCGUGUGUGAAGAAGGCCUUCGGGUUGUAAAGCACUUUUGUCCGGAAAGAAAUCGCACUUACUAAUAUUAGGUGUGGAUGACGGUACCGGAAGAAUAAGGACCGGCUAACUACGUGCCAGCAGCCGCGGUAAUACGUAGGGUCCAAGCGUUAAUCGGAAUUACUGGGCGUAAAGCGUGCGCAGGCGGUUGUGCAAGACCGAUGUGAAAUCCCCGGGCUUAACCUGGGAAUUGCAUUGGUGACUGCACGGCUAGAGUGUGUCAGAGGGGGGUAGAAUUCCACGU
rnacentral:rRNA from 1 species